rnacentral:rRNA from 1 species
CCAAAUAUUCUCAGGCGCUUGAGAGAACUCGGGUGAAGGAACUCGGCAAAUUGGUACCGUAACUUCGGGAGAAGGUACGCCCCUAGUAGGUGAAGGCGCACAGCUGGAGCCCAAUGGGGUCGCAGUGAAACGGUGGCUGUAACUGUUUAACAAAAACACAGCACUCUGCAGACACGUCAAGUGGACGUAUAGGGUGUGACGCCUGCCCGGUGCCGGAAGGUUAAGUGAUGGGGUGCAAGCUCUUGAUCGAAGCCCCGGUAAACGGCGGCCGUAACAAUAACGGUCCUAAGGUAGCGAAAUUCCUUGUCGGGUAAGUUCCGACCUGCACGAAUGGCGUAAUGAUGGCCACACUGUCUCCACCCGAGACUCAGCGAAGUUGAAGUGUUUGUGAUGAUGCAAUCUCCCCGCUGCUAGACGGAAAGACCCCGUGCACCUUUACUACAACUUUGCAUUGGACUUUAGUGAGGCCUGUGUAGGAUAGCUGGGAGGCUUUGAAGUGGGGGCGCUAGCUCUCAUGGAGCCACCGUUGAAAUACCAGCCUGGCGUUAUUGAGGUUCUAACCUUGGCCCGUAAUCCGGGCCGGGAACCGUGCAUGGUGGGUAGUUUGACUGGGGCGGUCUCCUCCCAAAGUGUAACGGAGGAGUGCGAAGGUACGCUUCGCGCGGUCGGUAAUCGCGCUGAAAGUGCAAUGGCAAAAGCGUGCUUAACUGCGAGACGGACAUGUCGAGCAGGUGCGAAAGCAGGUCAUAGUGAUCCGGUGGUUCUGUAUGGAAGGGCCAUCGCUCAACGGAUAAAAGGUACGCCGGGGAUAACAGGCUGAUUCCUCCCAAGAGUUCAUAUCGACGGGGGAGUUUGGCACCUCGAUGUCGGCUCAUCACAUCCUGGGGCUGAAGCCGGUCCCAAGGGUAUGGCUGUUCGCCAUUUAAAGUGGUACGUGAGCUGGGUUCAAAACGUCGUGAGACAGUUUGGUCCCUAUCUGCAGUGGGCGUUGGAAGUUUGAGGGGGGCUGCUCCUAGUACGAGAGGACCGGAGUGGACGCACCUCUGGUGUACCGGUUGUCACGCCAGUGGCAUCGCCGGGUAGCUAAGUGCGGAAGAGAUAACCGCUGAAAGCAUCUAAGCGGGAAACUCGCCUCAAGAUGAGACUUCCCGGGGACUUGAUCCCCCUGAAGGGUCGCGGAAGACUACCGCGUUAAUAGGCCGGGUGUGUAAGAGGAGUAAUCCUUUGAGCUAACCGGUACUAAUUGCCCGUGCGGCUUGAUCCU